GGCUCAAAUUUGAAGUAGACCAGUUUAGUAGGGCCAGAUGAUCCUUCUAAUCUUCUUUACUUCAAAUUUGGGCCU
rfam:Haemonchus contortus, ISE/inbred ISE, WGS project CAVP01000000 data, contig: Hcontortus_27141